AAUAAAUACAGCCAUAAGUUUCCGCGCUCAACUUUGAUCGUCCGUUUUAUUUAAAAUUAUUUUAUAAUUAGCAUUUUUGUUGUUAUGAGAUAAUAAAACAUGAAUAGUACUUUACUCGUGUUAUGUUUUUAAUUUUUUUUAAAAAAAAUUUCAAAUAAGACGAACGGUUAAAGUUGAGCGUGAAAAAUCAUGGCUGUAAUUAUU
rfam:Oryza glumipatula chromosome 3, whole genome shotgun sequence.